UGGGGAAUCGUCUAGUGGUAGGACGGCAGACUCUGGAUCUGCAAGGCUAGGUUCGAAUCCUAGUUCCCCAGCCA
rnacentral:tRNA from 1 species